CAUGCCGCCACGUCUGGCUAAUUUUUGUAUUUUUUUGUAGGUUUUGCUAUGCUCUCCAGGCUGGUCUUAAACUCCUUACCUCAAGGGAUCCUCCUGCCUCAACCUCCCAAAAUGCUGGAAUUACAAGCAUAAGCCACCCUACCUGGCCUUAAAUUUCAUUAGUUCUGGAAAAAAUAUUUUGAGGGGGACAGAAGGGAUUUUACUCUGCCUGCUUCGGUUUCCACAAGUUGCUUUCUCCCUGGGAUUAAGGUCAGGGGCAGGCCAGAACUGUGCUAUCCUGCAAGGAACAGAGUCCACCACUUUCCCUGGCUGGUUUUGGGGAUUCAGUGGGAGAAAAACAUCCCCCUUCAGCGGUCCUUAACCAGGGAAGCACUUCGGACCCUUUGGGAAGGAAGAUAAGCAUCCGCACGUUUCCAUGGAUUUGUCUGCUAAGACUUGUUAGGCUAAAAUGAGACCAUAGCUGUGAAUAUCCUUUGGCAGGAAAUGCAGUAGAGAAUGCAAGAGGCAACAAUGAUGGCUGGAAGAGAAGGGCCCCAAGAUAAUAGAGCCACACAUGGACCGGGC